AUUGAACGCUGGCGGCAUGCUUUACACAUGCAAGUCGAACGGUAACAGGCCUUCGGGUGCUGACGAGUGGCGAACGGGUGAGUAAUGCAUCGGAACGUGCCCAAUCGUGGGGGAUAACGUAGCGAAAGUUACGCUAAUACCGCAUAAGCCCUGAGGGGGAAAGCAGGGGAUCGCAAGACCUUGCGCGAAUGGAGCGGCCGAUGUCAGAUUAGCUAGUUGGUGGGGUAAAGGCCUACCAAGGCGACGAUCUGUAGCGGGUCUGAGAGGAUGAUCCGCCACACUGGGACUGAGACACGGCCCAGACUCCUACGGGAGGCAGCAGUGGGGAAUUUUGGACAAUGGGCGCAAGCCUGAUCCAGCCAUGCCGCGUGCGGGACGAAGGUCUUCGGGUUGUAAACCGCUUUCAGCCGGAAAGAAAUCGCCAAGGCUAAUAUCCUUGGUGGAUGACGGUACCGGAAGAAGAAGCACCGGCUAACUACGUGCCAGCAGCCGCGGUAAAG
rnacentral:rRNA from 1 species